rnacentral:rRNA from 1 species
GUGGGGAAUAUUGCGCAAUGGGGGAAACCCUGACGCAGCGACGCCGCGUGAGCGAAGAAGGCCUUAGGGUUGUAAAGCUCUGUUUUAAGGGACGAAUGUCGUGGGGAGUAAUAUGCUCUGCGAAUGACGGUACCUUAAGAGGAAGCCCCGGCUAACUACGUGCCAGCAGCCGCGGUAAGACGUAGGGGGCGAGCGUUGUCCGGAAUUACUGGGCGUAAAGAGCACGUAGGCGGGAACUUAAGUCAGGUGUGAAAGACCGGGGAACAACUCCGGGGUUGCACUUGAAACUGGGUUUCUUGAGGGCAGGAGAGGAAAGCAGAAUUCCUGGUGUAGCGGUGAAAUGCGUAGAAAUCAGGAGGAAUACCAGUGGCGAAGGCGGCUUACUGGACUGUAACUGACGCUGAGGCGCGAAAGUGUGGGGAGCAAACAGGAUUAGAAACCCUAGUAGUCC